CGCGAAGAACCUUACCUACCCUUGACAUCCAGAGGAUUUUCCAGAGAUGGAUUAGUGCCUUCGGGAACUCUGAGACAGGUGCUGCAUGGCUGUCGUCAGCUCGUGUUGUGAAAUGUUGGGUUAAGUCCCGUAACGAGCGCAACCCCCUAUCCUUAUUUGCCAGCGAUUCGGUCGGGAACUCUAAGGAGACUGCCGGUGACAAACCGGAGGAAGGUGGGGAUGACGUCAAGUCAUCAUGGCCCUUACGGGUAGGGCUACACACGUGCUACAAUGGGGAGUACAGAGGGACGCAAAGCGGCGACGUGAAGCCAAUCCCAAAAAAGCUCUCCUCAGUCCGGAUUGGAGUCUGCAACUCGACUCCAUGAAGUCGGAGUCGCUAGUAAUCGCGAAUCAGAAUGUCGCGGUGAAUACGUUCCCGGGCCUUGUACACACCGCCCGUCACACCAUGGGAGUGGAUUGCACCAGAAGUGGCUAGUUUAACCUUCGGGGGAACGGUUACCACGGUGUGGUUCAUGACUGGGGUGAAGUCGUAACAAGGUAAGCGUAGCGAG
rnacentral:rRNA from 1 species